AGUUCGUACGAUAAAUUGAAUUUACGUUAGAAAAGAGGCACGAUCACGCGAAAUAGAUCAUAGGAAUGACAAAUAUCAUCGACAUACGUUUCUGUAUAAUUUCAUCUUUGAAAAUUGUUUAGUUUAACACUAAAACGAUCAAACUCGUCGCAAUGACAAGCUUCAAAAUUUUCAUUUUUGCAAAUCACUCAAAAGCACCACAGUACUUUUUAUAAAAUUAACGUUGAUUUUUGCGGAGUUAGUAAGAUGUCUACAAGGAACUUACAAGAAAGGUACAAAUCAGGAAAAUCAUUAAUUUCAGAUAACUUUUAAUAGAAAAAUCUAGAUUCUUGUAAAUAUUAGAACACGUUUCUAUAGGUACAUAGGAAGAUUUAUAAAAAAAUGCUC
rnacentral:misc_RNA from 1 species